rnacentral:rRNA from 1 species
AAACAUGUCUUUUUGAAAUAUAUUUAAAGUCUAACCUGCCCACUGAGUAAUUUUUGAAUGGCCGCAGUAUUUUGACUGUGCAAAGGUAGCAUAAUCAUUAGUCUUUUAAUUGAAGGCUGGUAUGAACGGUUGGACGAAGUAUAAGCUGUUUCAUAUAAAUUUAUUAUAGAAUUUUAUAUUUUAGUUAAAAAGCUAAAAUUUUAUUAAAAGACGAGAAGACCCUAUAAAUCUUUAUAUUUUAUAUUAUUUAAAUUUUUUAGAUUUAUUUAAUUUUUAUAUUAUAAAUUAUUUUGUUGGGGUGAUAUUAAAAUUUAAUGAACUUUUAAUUAAAAAAAUCAUUAAUUUAUGAAUUAUUGAUCCAUUAAUAUUGAUUAUAAGAUUAAGUUACUUUAGGGAUAACAGCGUAAUUUUUUUUGAGAGUUCAUAUCGAUAAAAAAGUUUGCGACCUCGAUGUUGGAUUAAGGUAUAAUUUUGGGUGUAGCCGUUCAAAUAUUAAGUCUGUUCGACUUUUAAAUCCUUACAUGAUC